CCUUUGGGAGCAGGUGGGAUUGGUCCGAAUUCCUAUGGAGCAAGUGGGAUUGGUCCGAAUUCCUUUGGAGCAGGUGGGAUUGGUCCGAAUUCCUUUGGAGCAGGUGGGAUUGGUCCGAAUUCCUUUGGGAGCAGGUGGGAUUGGUCCGAAUUCCUAUGGAGCAAGUGGGAUUGGUCCGAAUUCCUUUGGAGCAGGUGGGAUUGGUCCGAAUUCCUUUGGAGCAGGUGGGAUUGGUCAGAAUUCCUUUGGGAGCAGGUGGGAUUGGUCCGAAUUCCUUUGGAGCAGGUGGGAUUGGUCCGAAUUCCUUUUGGAGCAGGGUGGGAUUGGUCCGAAUUCCUUUUGGAGCAGGUGGGAUUGGUCCGAAUUCCUUUGGGAGCAGGUGGGAUUGGUCCGAAUUCCUUUGGAGCAGGUGGGAUUGGUCCGAAUUCCUUUGGAGCAGGUGGGAUUGGUUAGAAUUCCUUUAGGAGCAGGUGGGAUUGGUCAGAAUUCCUUUGAAGCAUGUGGGAUUGGUCAGAAUUCCUUUGAAGCAGGUGGGAUUGGUCCGAAUUCCUUUGGGAAUAGGUGGGAUUGGUCAGAAU
ensembl:lncRNA